UCGCAUCCCAGAAGAGGGGUGCCGACAGGGCACCCAGCGCGUCGUCCUCUCUGCUCCUCUCCUCACUCCCCCCCUCCUCUUUGCUCCCCACUUCCCUAACCCUAGCCCCUUUCUACGCCGCCGCCGCCCGUUCCCUCGCCCUCUCCUGGCGCCACCCCCGUCCCUCCUCCUCUCUCGUCACACAGCCGCCCCGCCACCCACCGCCUCGAACCGCGAGCGGAGGGAGGACGAUGAGCACGACGGCGACGGUGGCAGGGAGCAGUAGCAGCAGCAGGCCUUGGGCAACGCCGACGAGCGACGAGCAGCAGCGGAAGGAGGACGAGGAGCACGAAGGCAGCGGUGGCAGGGAAGUGGUGUAGGGCGCCGCCAGGGCCGUGCUGGAGCGGCUCGACGUGCCGGCCACGUGCUCCGAGGAGCCGGCUUCUAGCAAGGUUAUUCUGAAGUCUGUGCUUCGUGACAAGUUGGAACUAUUGCCUUUGGCCAUAUUUCAUGGGAUGUUGUACUUUUUUGCGGGGUCAAGUAACAUCCCCCUGGAAAACGAAAUUCCAACUUUGAUUACAUGGAGUCCAGGAGGAAAUGAGUUCUGGAAAUGACAUGCGAAAAUACUAAAAAAUCGAUAUGAUUACUUCAAGAAGGUGUUAGAGAGAUCUGGGAAAGAUCAUGCUGUAUCGUUGGUUCUGACAUCUCGAAUAUAUCAUUGCAAGAUGAUUGUUGAUGGGGUGCCGAGACAUAUGUCUGAACUACCUCAUGUGACUGAUGAAAGAGGGCAGGUGGCCGACCCCCUUGAUAUCCAUGCCAGUAAGGAUUAUAUAUGUCCGUUUUAGCAUUUUGUUCAUAUAUAUGCCAUUCAGUAAUGACUGCAGUCUCUAGAUUUGGAUUCAGAGAUACUGUAGUGUGUGCCCUAUGCUGAAUAUUAUAAUUGUAGGAGCUUGCAGUCAAGCUGAUUUAUUGUCUCGAGAAGUGGGCAUUGGGAGUUGUUAAUUGGCUGAACAUGUACCUUCUGGGAGUUGUUUUAUUUGAUGGUCUGGUAAGUGACUUGCUUCCAGCAAUGGUUAGUUGUUUUUAUAUUUUGUUACGGCUACUAGAUGGGUGAUUGAGAUUGAGACUGUAUUCAACUGUUGAUUUUCUUGAUGUGCCUAAAUUUGGUAUGAGGUGUUUGUGUGUUUGGAUGCUCUUCAACUUUUCUGGUUAUACUAGAUACUAAUCUACAAUUCUAUAUAUGCCAUGCUAUUCGACUUUUCAUUUUCUUGAUCUACCUGAAUUGGUACUAUAGAGAUGUCUGAUGUAUGCGUGCGCGUGUGUGUGUGUUUAGGCAGUUUAGCCUCCUAUUCGUUUCAACACUUGGUUUUGCUUUUAGGAGAAUCAAGGAGGUUCUGUUAGGAGAAUUUCCUUUUGGUUUCCAUGGUUAAUUAAUCCUGGGACUAUUCAAAAAUGUAGAUAUCUUCAGUAUAUAUCUAAAGAAUUGUGUGUUCAUGGGCAACUAUACGUUGUUUUGUCUCAUGUACAUCAAGAGAAUUGCUAAAAAUACUUACUGAAGAUGAAAAUGUAGAUUGUACUACUGAAACUCAAAAUAUUGUUUACCCUUGGGGCCUUCUGAGAUAUCAGUGUACCAUCGUGGUGUUAUAUUUUGCAUUGUGUUGUCUUUUUUAUUAGUUUCAGGUUCAGCUGCCUUCGUAUGUGCAUAUUCUUUUGGUAUAAUCAUAGAACGAGAUAGUCGAUUCAUCUUCUUUUGCCGUUUGGGAUGGUACUUUCGUCCGAAUAAUAAAUGAUUGGAUGUAGGGAGAGGGGCUGUAUCUCGAUACCCUGUCCUCAUCAUGCUAAUUGCAUGUAAUCUUUUUCUCUUUCAUAUAUCUGUUGGUAGUUUUUCUUUUUGAGGUUGUUAUGUCCUCUCCUGAUUAUUCCUGUCCCGAUGAUUAAUUCUAAGAGAAGUGCUUAGGUACCCCCCCGCCCCGCCAACAAAACAUAGAAGGGCAGAAAGGUCAUAUGGAAGAAAUGUAUACCCACCUCGUAUCGUAGAUGUACAAUCCCGGUCAUACGAAUAAACGUGACUAAGAAGGAAAAAAAACUUGCACGACCACUUGAUCGAUCCUGCCUGCCGCCCGACUAGAGAAAAAAAAAAACGCUGAUCGAUCAGGCCUGCCGCACGGCGAUCACGCGGCGGCUGAUCUGGAUCGUCACGGGUGGGAUGAGGAGUGGAAGACCGCUGUCGCCGGUGGCUGGCCAAGUGUUGGACGUCGCCGUUCUUCGCGUCGAUGGCCGCCUCUAACCAGCCCAAUCUCCCACGCCGGCGGUUCCAACCCCGUCGUCUCCCACAUCAUGGUCGGCGGUUAGGCAAGUGGCCGGCCACGUCUUGGACAUCUCUGUCUUCCGCAACGACGCCGCGUUCGCCGCAUGUAACCGUCCGGACGUCCCAUGGAGCCUACCACACUCGUCCAAAAUGCCGACGUUGACCUAACUUGUCCGCCGCUGCGGCUCCGUCAGGUACUCCCUCUUGUGGAUUCAUCGUCUUCCACGUCGCUGCCGUCUUCCACGUCGCUGCCGUCUUGAAUCAUGCCGGAGGCCCAUGCCUCAAGGCCCCAUCGGCGUUGACGGACGACAUCGAUACCACCGCUGAAGUGUUGGUAGUAACAUGUGUUUAAAUUGACGAAGAAACCUCAUUUACAACUGAUGAGAAUGGUACAAAUGAUGUCAGUCGGACCGAUAACGAUCCUAGUAAUGAAGAUGACAAACAACAGCGAUAACGAUUCGUGGUCAUAAUAUGAUAUCUUACCUUCAGAGGAUUUUGCAAAUAAUGAACAUGGUGCAAACAGUGAAAAAGAAGAUGUGGACGUUGAGAAUGAGCAAAAUAAUCAUGAGGAAUCGUGGGCCGAUAACUUGAGCCAGGAGGGCUCAGAUGGUCUUGAUGGUGGCGACGACGAAGCAGAGAUGGACAUUGAGGAGGCUCAAUACCAACAACAGAAGUUGGAGACACAUUGGAAGGUCAUGGCUAUGUCUUUUUGGCCACAAGGGGAUGCAUACAUAUUCUACAACAAGCAUGCCAAAGAACAUGGGUUCAGCAUCAGGAGAGAGAAGAUGAAACGAGGGAAGGGUGCUUUAGGAAUAAUAUGGUUCAGGCGGUUUGUUUGCUCUAGGGCAGGGAGAAGGCAGAGGAAAAUCAUAACCAUGGAGGGUCGCACCCGUAGGCUUAGACCCGAGACUCGAUGCGAGUGCGGUGCGUAGAUGGUGGUGAAAUUGGACAGGGCACGUGGAGUUUGGUUCGUCGUGUCAUUCGUGGAUGAUCACAACCACGUGAUGGCUCGACCCAAUGAGGUUUGUUUUCUGUGGUCACACAGACGGAUUGGAGAUGGCACGAGGGCAGAGAUACUGGGUAUGCAAGGGGUUGGAAUCAGUAAGCAUAUAAUGGUGGACAACUUCAUCAGUAGGUGCGGUUUGUACGAGAAAUGCGGACUUAUUAGGCGGGACGUGUACAACCUUUGCUGCUGGGAGAAAAUGAAGCUCAUUGCAAAGGGUGAUGCUGAGACAGCAGUGGGCAUUAUGAGGAGUAGAAAGCAGAAGGACCCAGACUUCUUUGAGUAUGUGCUAGAUAAGGAAGCACGGUUGAAGUGUAUGUUCUGGUGCGAUGCAUAGUCGUGGAGGGACUAUCAGGACUACGGAGAUGUGGUCAUGUUUGACAACAUGUAUAAGAUGAACAGAUAUGGUAUCCCGUUCGCCCCCUUCGUCGGUGUUAAUAACCACCGUUGCACAACAGUUUUUGGUUGCGCCAUUGUUUCCAACGAGACCGAAGCGACGCAUGUGUGGCUGUUCCAUACUUUUAUGAGGGCAAACUGUCAGCAGAAGCCAAAGUCAAUUAUCACAGACGGUGACGCUGCAAUGAUCUGAGCGAUUUGGAGUGUCCUUUCAGAUGUUCUCCAUCGUAUUUGCUCGUGGCAUAUCGAGAAAAAUAUGCAGACACCUACAUUACAAGUCACUGGAUGAGUUCAGAUCGCUCCUGUACUAUGCCACCUGUCAAGAGAACUUUGAGGAGAGAUUUUUUUGACUAUUGACUUUGAGGAGAGAUGGACUGCCUUUGUCAAUAAAUGGAAGACGGAUAAAAUUGAAGAGUGGCUGAACAGGAUGUAUAGGAAGAGGAGACUCUAGGCAGCAUCAUAUCUUUCAGAUGAAUUUUUUCUUGGUAUGCGUAGUAACCAGAGGGGCGAAAGCCUGAACUCCUCCCUUCACCUUGACCUCAACUAUGGUAUGACCAUAGUUGAUUUGGUAGUGCAUUAUGAGAACUGCAUAAUUUGCCUCCGUUAGAACGAGGUGCAUGAUGACUGCGAGGCUAAUCAGAAAGUACCACCGGCGGUUACUGAAUAUAAGGACAUUGAGGAGCAUGCUGCCAAAGUAUUCAUUCCUGCUAAUUUCUACAUUCAGCAAAAUGAUUUGAAGAUGAGAGAACUGGAGAUUUUUGAGACGCUAGUGAGAAUUGAGCGUCAGACCUUCAUCGUGACAUGGCAGAAUAACCACAAGUUCAGGUAUAAUGUUGUGUAUGAAUCAGGUAACUCGGAGAACUGUAUCAUGCAUGUGUCACAUGAUGGUUCGAAAAGGGCUGCCUUGCAAACACAUUCUCUUUGUUUUGCAUCAUCUUAAAUUGUCUGAAAUACCAAAGUGUUGUGUCCUCCAUCGAUUGUCGAAAGAUGCGAGAGAUAGGUUGCAGUGCAGCGCAAGGGUGAUCUUUUUGGUUGGGGUUGGUCCGGGCCAGAGGAGAGAGAACAGUAUACUCAAGUGAGCAUAAAAUCUGCAGAAGCUGCUCAUGUUGCAGCAAAUGAUCCCUUCUUGUUUUAUGAAUUGAUGAAGUGCCUAGACGAUAUAAUAGCAAGGAAGAAGAUCCCGGAAGUGGAACUCAUAUGACACAGAAGGUGUGCUCUAAUUGUGGAGCAGGCAAUUCAAGCGGAAGAAGGUGCAACAGGUAUACGUGAUCCUGAGAAAGUUUCAACGAAGGGUGCACCUAAGAAAGGCCGGUCAAAGGGUGGCCUGAUGUUACGAAAAAUGGUAGACCAAAUUUUUUUAGCGAGAAGCAAAGUGGUCCAUUGUGCAGUCUUUGUCAUUUCCCAGGUCAUAACAAGGCGACAUGUAGUCUAAACGAGAAGAACCGGGCAUAGAGAAGUGGCUUCGAUUGUGGGAAGAAGAAAACUGGUUACACGAGUCAUGUCGGAAUAACCUAUAUUGUUAUUUAUUUAUGUGAACAUGUGUGCGGCACCAAGAAACUUAAUAAGUGUUUUGUUUAUGUUUCUCAAAAUAACUAUGUGAAUAUCUAUCAUAUGUACUGAAUUAUGAUUAUCAAAAUAUUUAUGUGAACAUC